rnacentral:rRNA from 1 species
UACGUAGGGGGCAAGCGUUGUCCGGAAUUACUGGGCGUAAAGGGCUCGUAGGUGGCCAACUAAGUCAGACGUGAAAUCCCUCGGCUUAACCGGGGAACUGCGUCUGAUACUGGAUGGCUUGAGGUUGGGAGAGGGAUGCGGAAUUCCAGGUGUAGCGGUGAAAUGCGUAGAUAUCUGGAGGAACACCGGUGGCGAAGGCGGCAUCCUGGACCAAUUCUGACGCUGAGGAGCGAAAGCCAGGGGAGCAAACGGG